UACGUAGGGUGCGAGCGUUGUCCGGAAUUAUUGGGCGUAAAGGGCUCGUAGGCGGUUUGUUGCGUCGGCUGUGAAAUCCCGAGGCUCAACCUCGGGUCUGCAGUCGAUACGAGCAAACUAGAGUGUUGCAGGGGAGACUGGAAUUCCUGGUGUAGCGGUGAAAUGCGCAGAUAUCAGGAGGAACACCGGUGGCGGAAGGCGGGUCUCUGGGCCGAUACUGACGCUGGAGGAGCGAAAGGCGUGGGGAGCGAACAGG
rnacentral:rRNA from 1 species